rnacentral:lncRNA from 1 species
GAUGCAGGGAGGAAUCGUUGGUGGAUAGCCAUGUUGCUACUCGGGACAAAGCAGCAAUGGAUCCUGCUCCUCCCUAUCCACCUCUGGCUUCACGUGAUUUGGUCCACUCCUCCUCUUUGCUCUAGUUUCUGGCAUAUAUCCACCACAUCUCUCCCUAGGCUGAUUAAAGAAUUAAUGCCAUGAUGAUUGUUGCAGCAGAAUAGGAAGUCCAGCGACGACAGUUUAAAUCGGAUGGGGGCAACGAGGCUACCACGCAGUUGUACGAUGACCUGGCAGGGAGAUGAUUAAACACACUCUACUCUGUUCCAGGUCUCGAUUGUUACUCUUGCCCCCACUAUGGAGAGUCGGCCUUUAUCACCAGAUUCCAUAUUUUGUUUCUGUAGCUAGCUAGAGCGUUGAGUUCUUUGUGAAAGCCAAAUUUAUUUUCUUGAUAUAAAUUAGUUGAUGAAGAAAUUUGUUAGUUAUAUGUGUUUCUACGAGCACCAUUGUUCGCCC